GAUGAAUGCUGGCGGCGUGCCUAACACAUGCAAGUCGAGCGGCAGCGAGGGGUGCUUGCACCCUGUCGGCGAGCGGCGAACGGCUGAGUAACGCGUAGGAAUUUGCCCCAAAGUGAGGAAUAACUGCCCGAAAGGGUAGCUAAUGCCGCAUAUGGUCUUCGGAUUAAAGGAUUUAUCCGCUUUGGGAGAAGCCUGCGUUGGAUUAGGUUGUUGGUAGGGUAAUGGCCUACCAAGCCGACGAUCCAUAGCUGGUCUGAGAGGAUGAUCAGCCAGACUGGAACUGCGACACGGUCCAGACUCCUACGGGAGGCAGCAGUGAGGAAUCUUCCACAAUGGGCGAAAGCCUGAUGGAGCAACGCCGCGUGAAGGAUGAAGGCCUUCGGGUUGUAAACUUCUUUUAUGAGUGAAGAAUAUGACGGUAACUCAUGAAUAAGCACCGGCUAACUACGUG
rnacentral:rRNA from 1 species